UACGUAGGGGGCAAGCGUUGUCCGGAUUUACUGGGCGUAAAGAGCGUGUAGGCGGCCAGACAGGUCCGUUGUGAAAACUGGAGGCUCAACCUUCAGACGUCGACGGAAACCGCCUGGCUAGAGUCCGGAAGAGGAGAGUGGAAUUCCUGGUGUAGCGGUGAAAUGCGCAGAUAUCAGGAAGAACACCGAUGGCGAAGGCAGCUCUCUGGGACGGUAGUGACGCUGAGACGCGAAAGCGUGGGGAGCGAACAGG
rnacentral:rRNA from 1 species